UACGAAGGGGGCUAGCGUUGUUCGGAAUUACUGGGCGUAAAGCGCACGUAGGCGGCGCAGCAAGUUGGGGGUGAAAUCCCGAGGCUCAACCUCGGAAUUGCCUUCAAAACUGCUGUGCUCGAGUUCGGAAGAGGUGAGUGGAAUUCCCAGUGUAGAGGUGAAAUUCGUAGAGAUUGGGAAGAACACCAGUGGCGAAGGCGGCUCACUGGUCCGGUACUGACGCUGAGGUGCGAAAGCGUGGGGAGCAAACAGG
rnacentral:rRNA from 1 species